rnacentral:rRNA from 1 species
GAGUUUGAUCCUGGCUCAGAUUGAACGCUGGCGGCAGGCCUAACACAUGCAAGUCGAGCGGAUGACGGGAGCUUGCUCCUUGAUUCAGCGGCGGACGGGUGAGUAAUGCCUAGGAAUCUGCCUGGUAGUGGGGGACAACGUUUCGAAAGGAACGCUAAUACCGCAUACGUCCUACGGGAGAAAGCAGGGGACCUUCGGGCCUUGCGCUAUCAGAUGAGCCUAGGUCGGAUUAGCUAGUUGGUGGGGUAAUGGCUCACCAAGGCGACGAUCCGUAACUGGUCUGAGAGGAUGAUCAGUCACACUGGAACUGAGACACGGUCCAGACUCCUACGGGAGGCAGCAGUGGGGAAUAUUGGACAAUGGGCGAAAGCCUGAUCCAGCCAUGCCGCGUGUGUGAAGAAGGUCUUCGGAUUGUAAAGCACUUUAAGUUGGGAGAAGGGCAGUAAGUUAAUACCUUGCUGUUUUGACGUUACCGACAGAAUAAGCACCGGCUAACUCUGUGCCAGCCGCCGACGG